rnacentral:rRNA from 1 species
AGGGAAGCGAGAUGGUGACAUGGAGCAAAUCCCAAAAAUAACGUCCCAGUUCGGAUUGCAGCCUGCAACUCGGCUGCAUGAAGCUGGAAUCGCUAGUAAUCGCGGAUCAGAAUGCCGCGGUGAAUACGUUCCCGGGUCUUGUACACACCGCCCGUCACACCAUGGGAGUAGGUAAUGCCCGAAGUCGGUGACCUAACCGGAAGGAAGGAGCCGCCGAAGGCAGGACUUAUAACUGGGGUGAAGUCGUAACAAGGUAAC